rnacentral:rRNA from 1 species
UACGUAGGGUGCAAGCGUUAAUCGGAAUUACUGGGCGUAAAGCGUGCGCAGGCGGUGAUGUAAGACAGAUGUGAAAUCCCCGGGCUCAACUUGGGAACUGCAUUUGUGACUGCAUCGCUGGAGUGCGGCAGAGGGGGAUGGAAUUCCGCGUGUAGCAGUGAAAUGCGUAGAUAUGCGGAGGAACACCGAUGGCGAAGGCAAUCCCCUGGGCCUGCACUGACGCUCAUGUACGAAAGCGUGGGGAGCAAACAGG